rfam:Hordeum vulgare subsp. vulgare, WGS project CAJW01000000 data, contig: morex_contig_40309
AAGUUACUACCUCCGUCUCAAAAUUCAUGUCUUAGAUUUGUCUAAAGAUAAAUGUACCUAGUUACGUUUUAGUAUUUAGAUACCUUCACUUUUAGACAAACGUAAGACAAAAACUUUAGGACGGGGGAGUAUUAU